CUUGCUUCUCUUGAGAGCGGCGGACGGGUGAGUAAUGCCUAGGAAUCUGCCUGGUAGUGGGGGAUAACGUUCGGAAACGGACGCUAAUACCGCAUACGUCCUACGGGAGAAAGCAGGGGACCUUCGGGCCUUGCGCUAUCAGAUGAGCCUAGGUCGGAUUAGCUAGUUGGUGGGGUAAUGGCUCACCAAGGCGACGAUCCGUAACUGGUCUGAGAGGAUGAUCAGUCACACUGGAACUGAGACACGGUCCAGACUCCUACGGGAGGCAGCAGUGGGGAAUAUUGGACAAUGGGCGAAAGCCUGAUCCAGCCAUGCCGCGUGUGUGAAGAAGGUCUUCGGAUUGUAAAGCACUUUAAGUUGGGAGGAAGGGUUGUAGAUUAAUACUCUGCAAUUUUGACGUUACCGACAGAAUCGCGCACCGGCUAACUCUGUGCCAGCAGCCGCGGUAAUACAGAGGGUGCAAGCGUUAAUCGGAAUUACUGGGCGUAAAGCGCGCGUAGGUGGUUUGUUAAGUUGGAUGUGAAAUCCCCGGGCUCAACCUGGGAACUGCAUUCAAAACUGACUGACUAGAGUAUGGUAGAGGGUGGUGGAAUUUCCUGUGUAGCGGUGAAAAUGCGUAGAUAUAGGGAAGGAACACCAGUGGCGAAGGCGACCACCUGGACUUAAUACUGACACUGAGGUGCGAAAGCGUGGGGAGCAACAGGAUUAAAUACCCCUGGUUAGUCCACGCCCUAACGAUGUCAACUAGCCGUUGGGAAGCCUUGAGCUUUUA
rnacentral:rRNA from 1 species